rnacentral:rRNA from 1 species
AAAAUACCUCUUGGUUUGAGGACUGUCGUGCGCAAGCCGGCUUUCCUUGCACUUUCCAGUCUAUGUUUUAUAAUAUACACCUAAAGUAUGUUUCAGKAUGUCAUUUAAUGGGCAUAACUGCCUUUAAUUACCAUACAACUUUCAACAACGGAUCUCUUGGCUCUCGCAUCGAUGAAGAACGCAGCGAAAUGCGAUAAGUAAUGUGAAUUGCAGAAUUCAGUGAAUCAUCGAAUCUUUGAACGCACCUUGCGCUCCUUGGUAUUCCGAGGAGCAUGCCUGUUUGAGUGUCAUUAAAUUCUCAACCUUUUCAAUCUUUUAUUGGUUGAAUUAGGUUUGGAUGUGGGAGUCUUUUKGCUGGCUUCYUUAAGAGGUCGGCUCUCCUUAAAUUUAUUAGCAGGACCUUUGUUGCCCUCUCAGCGUUAGUGUGAUGAAUUAUCGUACGCUAUUUGCUGAAAGCAACUCCAUAAA